UCGAACGAGGCUAUUUCACUACCACUGAAGGUAAUAUUUUUUUUUAUUUUUAUAUAGAAGGGCAUUUAUUGAAGUCAAAGCAGAAGACGUACCGGUCUUUCAUAUCAGCGCAUACUUGGCUGGUGGUUUUGAGGACCCCAGAGUGUCUGGACGCUACGAUAUACUCUAUGCUGCGGAUCUAUGUUUUAUUGUACGCACACGGCAACACGGACCUUUGCGAUGCCUUCUCUGGAGGCAAGCGGUCGCUACAGAGCGACAGCGUGCUCCAUGUAGGAAUGCAUUUAAAAAACUCUGUGGAAGAUAUAGGGGGUAUAAGUUUGUGUACACAAAAGAGAGGUGCCCCUCUAGCAAGAACACAUGAAUACCGUAUCGACCUCCAUUCACACUUACUUCCGUAAAAUAUAGCUUUACAUCUUCGCCGGAAAAGCAUGAAUUAUACACUUUUCUGAUUGUAUGUAAUUACGUUUCACUUACCAAGAAAUGUUUUUAUCACGGCUCUGUAGAACUUGCGCUAACAUAUUAAAAAAUAUAUAUUGCGGUUUUGGCAUUUUCUUAUUAUAAUACAGAUGUAACACAUUUUCUUGCUAUAUUAUAACACGUAACACAUAUAUAUUACGCCUAAAUGCUACUUUUUAAGGGAAAUGGUAUUGCGGACAGAAAGGCCCUAGGAGCAGGAGGGCAGGAAAAGAAGAUGAAAAAAAAGAAAAUAUACUGUUAUGCUACGAAGGGGUCAUAUAUUUAAUGCAAUGGCUAUGCCAUAAGCCCCUUUAGAAUUUUUAAGUUUAACUCAUCUACUCGAGGAACAUGCAUAGAAAUUUUAAAACUCUCGUGCUUUCCGUGCUUUCCAUGCUAGUGGAAGUGGCAAGCAGCCCCA